UACGAAGGGGGCUAGCGUUGCUCGGAAUCACUGGGCGUAAAGGGUGCGUAGGCGGGUCUUUAAGUCAGGGGUGAAAUCCUGGAGCUCAACUCCAGAACUGCCUUUGAUACUGGCGGCCUUGAGUUCGGGAGAGGUGAGUGGAACUGCGAGUGUAGAGGUGAAAUUCGUAGAUAUUCGCAAGAACACCAGUGGCGAAGGCGGCUCACUGGCCCGAUACUGACGCUGAGGUGCGAAAGCGUGGGGAGCAAACAGG
rnacentral:rRNA from 1 species